ACUGAGGGUGCAAGCGUUAAUCGGAAUUACUGGGCGUAAAGCGAGUGUAGGCGGCUAUUUAAGUCGGAUGUGAAAGCCCCGGGCUCAACCUGGGAAUUGCAUUCGAAACUGAAUAGCUAGAGUUUGGUAGAGGUAAGUGGAAUUCCGGGUGUAGCGGUGAAAUGCGUAGAUAUCCGGAGGAACAUCAGUGGCGAAGGCGGCUUACUGGACCAAAACUGACGCUGAGGCUCGAAAGCGUGGGGAGCAAACAGG
rnacentral:rRNA from 1 species